rnacentral:lncRNA from 1 species
GUUAGGGUAGUUCAUAAGUCUUGAACUUCUCAAGUUCAAUUAUCCUCCCACUAUCUCCUUAGAAAAAAAUUUUUUCCUAAAAGGUGGCAUACCUACUGACAAAAUACCUUUUGUCUAGUAGGGUGGAAGAAAUAAUAUCUCAUAUUAUUCUUUAGGAUAACCUAUAAAUAUAUAUGAAUCUAUUUUAGUACAAACUUAUGUACAUCAACUCUUUUCACAUAAGUUGGGCAACCUACCUUUUGCCUUUUCCAUAUCAUAU